AUUCCCUGUCCUUCAGUGACCUUCCUUCUCUGUUUCCCUACAUCUCUCUGGAGGGAUAUCUGAUUAAUAAUGAGGAGCUGGAGAUUUCUCUGGGCCUGGGAAUGGAGCCAGUAGUUUCCUAUCCAGGGUUGUCAUUGAGAUCGUCUGGGAUCUGCAAAGGAAGAAAAUAGGAGGAAGAGCAAGAAAGUGGAGCAUCAGUGGCUGGAGUCUCCGGCAAAUUGCUGAAGAGCUUCUGUUCUUCGUUUGCUUACGUUCUGGAUCGGGUGUGGACCUUCGGCAGCGUCGUCAGAUACAAAGGGGCCAGGGACAGACUGAAGAGAAAUCCUUGUUGUCUUUCUGUUUGGAGGUAUUUUGUUGUUGUUUGCUUUUUCCAGAACUUUUGUUUCCAUUUAGGCCUUGUGGUGACCCCUAAUGAUCUCGCCCCAGUAUUCCCCUCCUUGCAUCGUUUCCUUCCCACGUUGGGUCAGGAUUUCUCUGUGUGACCAAUAGAGUACAGCAGUGUUGGUUGUAAAAGGCACUGUACUUCUACCUUGCUCUGUGUUUUGGAUGGAUCACCGAUGGAAGCUGGCUGCCAUGAUGUGAAGACUCUUGAGCAGCUCUAUGAAGACGUCUUGGUGGAGGGGGACUGAGAGCUCCAGCCAGGGACUAGGUAAAGCAGAUGCUCCAUUCCCUUCAGAUGAUUGCAGCCACGGCCAGCUCCUGAUGCAACCUCAUGGAGAGGCUCUGAGUCAGAACACCCACCCUGGAACCACCAUACUCUUUUCGUGCAUCAUUUUACGUUCCCACCAGCAGCGCACAAGCCUUUCCAUUUCUCUACAACAUGCCAACACUCGUCUGGAGAUCAGUGCCCUUAUAAAGGAGCUCCAGAGAGCUUGCUCACCCCUUCCACCAUGCAAGGACAUGGUGAGAAGACAUUUGUCUGUGAACCAGGCAGCAGGCAUCACCAGAUGCCAAAUCUGCCAGCACCUUCUUCUCGGACUUCCCAGCCUCAAGAACCGUGAGAAAUAAAUUUCUGUUGUUCAUAAGCCACCAGUCCAUGGUAUUGUUGCAGCAGCCCAGACUGACUAUGACAGUGGACUUCGUCAGGGCAUGGCUGGUCCCCCAUUGCUGCAGCCCUCUCGUCCUCAUAGCCACAAACACUCGAUGUCCAUCAGCAGGCACAGCAGCCCCCCAGAGGAGAGACUGCUCGCCCUGGCACACAGGGCUCACUCCUACGAGAGUUUGCACCUGAGACCUGGG
rnacentral:lncRNA from 1 species